rnacentral:lncRNA from 1 species
CUCCCCUCUGCUUGCAUCAUUAGUCGAUUAUAUGAAAAAGGGUGGAAUAGGCUUAUUCCUUCUCAUAGUAUAGCCUUAUUACCAUAUUACCUCUCCCCUAUUCCUAUCCACUAAAACAUAUAAAAAGGUGAUAAGCCAAUUUUAUCUUUGAACAAAAUCCAAAUUAUCUUGAAAUGCAGCACCCUGUUCCAUCGCCUUAACCCCUCCCACAUAGUCGUCCAGCC